rnacentral:lncRNA from 1 species
CACGUUUAUUUUAGUAGUGUCUCGAGCGCCAAGUAUGAAUAGCGGUGACGAAGGCACUACCGUGUCUCUAUUCCGCUCAAAUUAGCACUUUUGAGCGCUGGUGAGCGUGUUGAAUGCUCCUUUCUGUCAAACGUACCUAUACAUAAAUCAAGUCAUCGAAACAAGAACACAAAAUUUACUAAAAGAUGAACAAACGAAACAAAAAAUUAAAAUAGAUGUUUCUACAAAGAAAAAAAAAAGAGGUAGUGUGGGAAAAAUCUCAAGCUGCGAAACAAAAUGUAAGGGUUAUUUUAUUGCAAUAACAAUGAAGUAAAGUACAACCAAAUGAACAUUGUCAUUUUAUAGUUCAAUGUCUUGUUCCAGAUAUUACACAUCAAAAAGAAAAAAAGAAGAAGAAGAGAAGUUGGAAAAGAAAAGAAAAGGGUUCGACAAAUUAUUGAA